rnacentral:rRNA from 1 species
GACGAACGCUGGCGGCAUGCCUAACACAUGCAAGUCGAACGAGACCUUCGGGUCUAGUGGCGCACGGGUGCGUAACGCGUGGGAACCUGCCCUUAGGUUCGGAAUAACUCCCCGAAAGGGGUGCUAAUACCGGAUAAUGUCUUCGGACCAAAGAUUUAUCGCCUUUGGAUGGGUCCGCGUUGGAUUAGCUAGUUGGUAGGGUAAAAGCCUACCAAGGCGACGAUCCAUAGCUGGUCUGAGAGGAUGAUCAGCCACACUGGGACUGAGACACGGCCCAGACUCCUACGGGAGGCAGCAGUGGGGAAUAUUGGACAAUGGGCGAAAGCCUGAUCCAGCAAUGCCGCGUGAGUGAUGAAGGCCUUAGGGUUGUAAAGCUCUUUUACCCGGGAUGAUAAUGACAGUACCGGGAGAAUAAGCUCCGGCUAACUCCGUG